rnacentral:rRNA from 1 species
AGUGAACGCUGGCGGUAGGCCUAACACAUGCAAGUCGAACGGCAGCACAGUAAGAGUUCGCCCUUACGGGUGGCGAGUGGCGGACGGGUGAGGAAUACAUCGGAAACCACUUUUACUUGGGGGAAAACGUAGGGAAACUGACGCUAAUACCGCAUAUGACCUACGGGUGAAAGCAGUGGAUCUUCGGACUUUGCGUGAUUGAAUGAGCCGAUGUCGGAUUAGCUAGUUGGCGGGGUAAAGGCCCACCAAGGCGACGAUCCGUAGCUGGUCUGAGAGGAUGAUCAGCCACACUGGAACUGAGACACGGUCCAGACUCCUACGGGAGGCAGCAGUUGGGAAUAUUCGGCAAAGGGCGCAAGCCUGAUCCAGCCAUGCCGCGUGAGUGAAGAAGGCCUUCGGGUCGUAAAGCUCUUUUGUUAGGAAAGAAAAACAGCAGGUUAAUACCCCGCUGUUCUGACGGUACCCAAACAAUAAGCACCGGCUAACUUCGUG